rnacentral:tRNA from 1 species
GCUCGCGUGGCGGAAUUGGUAGACGCAAGGGACUUAAAAUCCCUCGGUCCACAAGGCCGUGCCAGUUCGAUUCUGGCCGCGAGCA